rnacentral:rRNA from 1 species
GACGAACGCUGGCGGCGUGCUUAACACAUGCAAGUCGAACGGAAAGGCCCUGCUUGCAGGGUACUCGAGUGGCGAACGGGUGAGUAACACGUGGGUGAUCUGCCCUGCACUUCGGGAUAAGCCUGGGAAACUGGGUCUAAUACCGGAUAGGAGCCAUUUUUAGUGUAAUGGUUGGAAAGUUUUUUCGGUGUAGGAUGAGCUCGCGGCCUAUCAGCUUGUUGGUGGGGUAAUGGCCUACCAAGGCGGCGACGGGUAGCCGGCCUGAGAGGGUGGACGGCCACAUUGGGACUGAGAUACGGCCCAGACUCCUACGGGAGGCAGCAGUGGGGAAUAUUGCACAAUGGGCGCAAGCCUGAUGCAGCGACGCCGCGUGGGGGAUGACGGCCUUCGGGUUGUAAACUCCUUUCGCUAGGGACGAAGCUUUUUGUGACGGUACCUAGAUAAGAAGCACCGGCUAACUACGUG